rnacentral:rRNA from 1 species
AUGGUUGAUGGAACUUCUCCUGCAAGGAGGAAUGACAUCACAUGGAAUGAUGUGACGGACGAUGCAAUGCUUGAGGUACUUGUUCAUCAUCAAACCAUGGAUGACCAUUCACAAAAUGGAUGGAAAGCACAUGUGUACAUUGCAACUAUCAAGAAUGUGAAGGAGAAGUGUAAUAAGGAUAUCACAAAGGACAACAUAUUAGGAAGGCUUAGGACUUUCGACAAGCAAUAUGAAGUCAUUAACAAGAUCCUUUCUCAAAGCGGUUUUGGUUGGGAUUGGGUCAACCAUAAUCUAUCCAUUAAUAGUGACAAUGUGCGGACUAAAUUUGCAUAGAAAUAGAAAGGUUUAGCUUCUUACAAUACCAAAGUAGUGAAGCACUGGGAAGCCAUAUCUACCAUAUAUUCAAAAGAUCUUUUCAAUGGUGAAGGUGCCAAGAUAGGUGCUGAGACUAUUGUAGAUCUAGAAGAACCAAUUGAAAUCUCUCUAGAUGGUACCAAAGAGGUAACGAAUAUGUGA